GUCAAGAGAAAGUCACCUUUGGCGCUACCACCAUUGCCAGCAAGAGGUCCUUCUUUCUCAGUAUCACCUCUUGAAGACAGAGCUCAGACAGUGUGGUGUAAAGGGGAGAGGAUGGACUUCGGAGUCAGGGUUGGGUUCAAAUACUGGCCAUACCGCUUACCAGCCAUGUGACCCUGGACCUGUGCAAGCAUCCUGCCUCAUUCCAUUUGGCUGAAGCUCCUGCUCCACUUCUUGCUGGGCUGUGACCAUUCAGGAUCCCCCACUGUCCACCAGAGUCAGCACCUAAAA
rnacentral:lncRNA from 1 species